rnacentral:rRNA from 1 species
UCUUCCGCAAUGGACGAAAGUCUGACGGCGCAACGCCGCGUGAGUGAUGAAGGUUUUCGGAUCGUAAAACUCUGUUGUUAGGGAAGAACAAGUACCGUUCGAAUAGGGCGGUACCUUGACGGUACCUAACCAGAAAGCCACGGCUAACUACGUGCCAGCAUCCGCCGGAAUACGUAGGUGGCAAGCGUUGUCCGGAAUUAUUGGGCGUAAAGCGCGCGCAGGCGGUGUCUUAAGUCUGAUGUGAAAGCCCCCGGCUCAACCGGGGAGGGUCAUUGGAAACUGGGGAGCUUGAGUGCAGAAGAGGAGAGUGGAAUUCCACGUGUAGCGGUGAAAUGCGUAGAGAUGUGGAGGAACACCAGUGGCGAAGGCGACUCUCUGGUCUGUAACUGACGCUGAGGCGCGAAAGCGUGGGGAGCGAACAGG